GCUAGGAAUGAAUGCAACAAACUAUCUUAAACAUUUAAAAAAUUCUUUGCCAUUUAUAAAGGCUUAAAUUGUUAACACUUUUCUAUACAUGUAUAUGAACAUUAUUGACCCUUCUUGUUAAGACAUCAGAGAAUUUGGUUGAUGAAGCACUUUAUACAGUAUGUCUUCACCUUAAAAUGUGUUUUGAUUUAAUAUGCUUUGUUUUUAAGUAGGCCAAGAUUGAGUUUUUUCUUUCUUUCUAGUAGGUGUUUGAAGCAGACUAAUAAGUUAGAGGACUUGGGCAAUACUCACCAAAACAAACAAGGCACCGCCCCAAAAAUGUACAUAUUGAUCUUAGGAAAUAUCACAGUUAGCAAAUAUCCUUAUUGUAGAGGCACUUAAUGAAGAGAUAGUAUUUUAAUGUCUGCCAGUUCUGAGGUAGGUGAAACUUAGUUCUACAUGAUGAUUUAGGAAUAUUUUAAACCUCUUCCCACAUGUUCUGUUCUUCAGGGGAAAAGUGAGUCGGGCUUCCAGAGUUAGCACUAAACUCACUUUCACAUUUAUGUUAUUCCUACCCACCACGUUUGACAAGGAAGCAGGGGCUAAAGCUAGGAGCUGAGUAAGUAAGAAGAAAUUGUCAUGUGGUUGACUACUGCUGCCAAGUAAGUUUGUGUUGUUUUUCUGUCAUAUUUAAGUUACAGAAACCAAGCCAACUUAAAAUAGUUUGUAGAGGUUAUUGAAGAAUAAAAGGCUGAGAAAAAUUAGUACACAUUUACAGUUGAGAUGUAAUUCAACUCGUUACUCUCAAUAUUGUUCACAUUAGACUUGCUGUUAUGCUUUAUCCCUUGUAUUCUUGCCUGAUACUUUUCAGAGUUCUUUCUCAUAUACAGUCUUUGCCAGACAGAGCAGAUGCUUUAUUCUGAUAUAUCCAGUUCUACUUUAGGCAAAACCAACAUGAGGUUGGUAGAAUGUCAGAAUUAGUAGUAGAUAAGGAAAAUUAGGCACAGACAGGUCAGGUUGGAACAGAGAGACCCCGAACUCACACACACUACACACUACAAGGUAAUAAGCAUUACCACCAUUUAAGUUGGUCGUCAAAGGCUGGUCCAAAUCAGGACAAGAUUUAUCUUGCUAAAUGUCAACAGAUUUAUAUCUAUUACAUUUUUCAUUUCCUCAAAAUAAGUAGUCAUGUUGUUACAACCAUGUUUAGCUCUAACCUUCCUCCUAACAAAUAGCAGUGUUGCGAAGAACAUUUUAGUGUGGAAAUUGUAUGUGGGAGGUGGGCAGUUAUAAAAUGUGAACUCAUGAUCUAUGGGAAUCAGAACAAAUAGUUAUUUAAGAAAGGACAUCAUAUAAGCAAAUUUGUAUGUUGAAACUUGUAUAGAACAUGGUGCAGUGAGUGAAUGCCCCCCAGCCACAAAAGCACUUUAGGCAUAUUAAAUGGACAUAGUUACUGUGCAAAACUUCAUUCAGGAAAUAAAUACAUUUAUGUAAUAUACAUCUUUGCCCCAAAAGAGAAAAGGAAUCAUGAAACUUAAGUACAGAAUUACUUUCAUAAGGCAUGUCUUAGAAUAAUCUGUCUUGAUAUAUGUAAAUUAUAUUUUAGGUAGGCCCAGAAACAAAUCCAGUUAAUUUAUGUGAAAAUUAGACUAUGUUUAAGAUAGUGGAUAAACUACUCAUUAAAUAUCUAGUAUCCAAAAAUUUGAUGCAGUUGCCCUCUUGUAAGAUUAAAAAAAUAAUAAGCAUAUGUUACAUGUGUUGCUAUUGUAAUUUGAUUGUUACUGGUGUCUUUGGUAUCCUACCCUCAUCCUUCAUAAAGGCAUGAGGCUAAAUAGCUGUUGGAAAACUGUCAAGACUUCAAACCCACUAAAAUCUAAAAGUUUAAUUCUUUUUUAACAUGGAUGAUUCAGCACUAGGGAACAUACCCAACAUGUGAGCAGAAGCAAGGGAAAAAGCAGAAUCAUUCACGUGUUUUGUGUUCACAUCUGUUCUGUGCCUAGUUGUUUGUUUAAUUUCAACCUUUUUCUUUGAUAAGAGAUUUUUUUUUAACAUACGAAGUCAUCCAAGACCCUAGUUUAUUUUGAAGUUAAGGGUUAAUGAAGUUGAAAUAUACUUUUAAAACAUAUAUUUAUGAAAAGUCAAAUUUAAAGUGGAACAUCUAAAAUAGCACUAUACAUAGAAAUCAGAUUUUAAAAGACAUCUUUUUUCUACUCAGUUUAGUUAAAAUCAUGACAUAAAUUUAGAAAUAAAAUAAUUAUAUAGUAGAAUUCCCUAAAAUAUUUCUGUUAACUGGCAUGUACUGACCAACUAUAAAUUAAGUAGGAGAACUCUUCCUAGUCUAUUCCAUUAUAUUCCACACCAAUCUCCUCCUCUGUUUGGUGUUAGGAACAAAUUUCUAUACCAUACAUUUCUGUUUCAGUAGUUCUUUGUUGAAAUGGGUAAAAUGUCAAAAUAAUAAGCUACAUAAAACUUAAAGUUCAAUUGUUUAAAAAUAUUGGGAUAGCUUUCUGUUGUAGGUUGUGUUAGAUUCUAUUGCCCAGGUAAGAUUACUUUAAAAUUUUUUUUGCACUUUUUUGUAAAUUAAAAGAAUAUGAAGCCAUAAAAUGGCAAGAUAUUUAGGCUUAAGAAAUUUUAAACUAGCAAACUUACAGCCUAAUUCUAUAAACCGGUCCUUGGUAGCAGUUCCUUUUCAGGCUAUUUAUAAACAGAAUUUAGAUGUACGUCAAAACAAAACUUUCCAAAGCUAAAUGUAAUAUCUUUUGGGUUAAUCUAUUUUUUUUUCAUUGUAUAUGCUACUUGUAUGUGUAUUCCCACGAUAUUCUAAUAUGCAUUGCAUUAAAAAUAAAAAGGCAGCUCUGGAUGAGCUCUUUUGUUACCUAUUUCUAAAUUUUUUAAUAAGGCUUUUUGUAGUCAGUAGUUCCUUAAAACGGGUUAAACUUCAUUACACAGUUCUUUAAAGCUGAUAGAUCAUGAUGAAAAUGAAUUUAAGGCCAAUGGUGAUAGAUGUUACAGACCUUUUAUCCCUUAAACAUAAGCUUUGAGAACGAUAACUACAUGCUUCAGAUGCUGUUACAUGAAUAUCAAAAUGUGAUGUGUCAGAAAUAAAGGGAUAGUUUAAAGGUGGAUAUUUGAAAAUUCUUUAGUCUUAGUAUAUAUAUAUAUAUGUAUAGAAUAGUAUACUCUAAAAAUAAGUGUGCAAUUUACUAGUACUACAGUACAGUGAGUAGCAUUAGGUAUGUCUCCUAUUUAUACCCUAUGUCCCAUUUAAUUGUAAGUGCAAUCCUUUUAAGUUCACUUCCUCUCUUACCCCGACCUAAUCUAACUUCAUAUAGAAGGCUUGUCUAGAAAGAGUAUUGUAUGUAUUUUCACUUUUGCACAGUGAAUUGCAUGUGCAACUUGUAACCACAGCUAUUGUUUUUAUGUUGACAUAACUCUUAAAUGUUCUCAUAUAUCAGCUCGCAUCCUUUAAGUAAAUUUAAUAAAUUCUUAACUCAGUUUU
rnacentral:lncRNA from 1 species